AAUGAACGCUGGCGGCAGGCCUAACACAUGCAAGUCGAACGAGACCUUCGGGUCUAGUGGCGCACGGGUGCGUAACGCGUGGGAACCUGCCUUUAGGUUCGGAAUAACUCAGAGAAAUUUGAGCUAAUACCGGAUGAUGUCUUCGGACCAAAGAUUUAUCGCCUUUAGAUGGGCCCGCGUUGGAUUAGCUAGUUGGUGGGGUAAAGGCCUACCAAGGCGACGAUCCAUAGCUGGUCUGAGAGGAUGAUCAGCCACACUGGGACUGAGACACGGCCCAGACUCCUACGGGAGGCAGCAGUGGGGAAUAUUGGACAAUGGGCGAAAGCCUGAUCCAGCAAUGCCGCGUGAGUGAUGAAGGCCUUAGGGUUGUAAAGCUCUUUUACCCGAGAUGAUAAUGACAGUAUCGGGAGAAUAAGCUCCGGCUAACUCCGUG
rnacentral:rRNA from 1 species